UACGUAGGGCGCAAGCGUUGUCCGGAAUUAUUGGGCGUAAGAGCUCGUAGGCGGCUUGUCACGUCGGCUGUGAAAACCCGGGGCUCAACCCCGGCCUGCAGUCGAUACGGGCAGGCUAGAGUUCGGUAGGGGAGACUGGAAUUCCCGGUGUAGCGGUGAAAUGCGCAGAUAUCGGGAGGAACACCGGUGGCGAAGGCGGGUCUCUGGGCCG
rnacentral:rRNA from 1 species